GAAAGACGCAUGUUUGAAAAGAAACCGUCAUCUUGUCCGUUACUCUGACCGAGUGAAGAUGGAGCGCAGAGUCGCUCGGAUAAGAAACAUUAUUUCCAACAUCACCAAUAGCCAAUGGUUUGCCAACGUCAUCCGGCUAACCCUGGCGCUCAACAUCAUAUUCAUCAUUUACGUGGUUGAUUGGAGACUGAACGAUCUUUCUCCUUCUCUUUAUACUGUUAAUGCUUUGUUCCACUGCGUGUACCUGGUGGAGUACCUGCUGAGGAUCUGUGUGGAUCCGAGGGGUUACUGGACGAAUCCUCUCAAUGUGCUGUCUGCUUCUGUGCUCCUGCUCUCCUCCGUCUGCAUGAGUCUGAGCCUGCCUCUCAAGAGCCUGGUCUGCAUCUGUGUCCUGCUCGUCUUCAGACUCAGGAACUACACAGAUGUCGAGCAGGAGUACACUGCAGGCGUCUGGAGGGGAUUGAAGAAAGCCAGCUUGAUCUAUUUCUUGAUCUUUGUGAUCGUACUGGUUUUCGCAAUGGCUGGUCACUCGUUUUUUGGAGAUCCAAACAGAGGAGAUCCAGAGAACUGGGGAGACCUCGGCACAGCCCUGUUCACGCUCUUCAGACUGCUCGUAUUGUAUAAUUGGACGAGGGUGCAUCAGGACCUCAACAGAGCAGGAGUCAGCUACAGCAGCGUCUUCGUCAUCGGCUUUAUUAUUACAUGCUACUUCAUUCUCCUCGUUAUAGCCAGGGCUGUUUUCAUCACUGAAUGCCGGAGUGCAUUUGGGAAGGCAGCGGAAGGGAAGAAGCGUGCGCGUGAAGAGGAGGUGAAGAAGAAGGUGGAGGAGGUGCUGGAAAGAGCUAAACAGCACCAUGCCCCACAACUCUGGCGUGUGAGAGAACUCAAAAGGCCCUUGUGUCAUGAUCGAUUUAUUUAUGCACAGGACAAGAUCACUAGUUCUUCUUUCAUAGGAACAUUUAUGCAGCAGCUAAAUAAACGAGAACAAACCAUGUUAGCGUGGUGGCGGCUCAUAAAUGAGAAGAUGUCUGUACUGAAGGAGGAGCUCGAGGACAAGCUGAAUGAGGAAGCUCUUGCUGAGGGGUUGUACAAGAAGUCUGGCAGAUUAAUAUUCCUUGGCCUUGGCAAUGCUGGCAAAACAACGCUUCUGCAUAUGCUGAACGAGCACAGACUGGGUCUGCAUGUGCCGACCUUUGACCCCACUUCAGAAGUGCUGAGGAUUGCUGGUGUUACUCUGAGCUCCUGUGAUCUGACAGCUCGAGGGGAGUGGAGGAAGCUUCUCCCAGCCGUCAACGGCAUCGUCUUCCUGGUGGACUGCGCAGAUUACGCCAGGCUGCCUGAGUCCAAAACAGAGCUAGACGCACUAAUGACAGAUGAGACCAUUGGAAACGUGCCCAUCUUGAUCCUCGGCAACAAGAUCGACAAACCUGAAGCCAUUAGUGAGGAGAAACUGCGUGAGAUCUUUGGGCUGUACAGUCAGACGACAGGAAAGGGCUGUGUUGGUGUCGGCGAGCUGAAGACGAGGCCGCUGGAGCUGUUUAUGUGCAGCGUGACGGAGAGACGAGGAUACGGAGAGAGAAAGUUGGGCAGCUGUUGACAGCUUUCACAACAAAUCAAGACUAAAGAGCCGACUGAUGUCUCUGGUGCUCAGAGGACUCCCGAUCGUCUUUGCCCACAAACCUACAGAUUUCUACAAAGUAUUCUAUAAAGCCUAAAACCUGUUACGGUUUUACUGGUGUGUAAGGACGCCGCAUGAGGAAGACGAUAUACAAAAGGUACUUUUAAUGAUCGAGGGAGAAUAAGGGCACAUCCAACAUAAUACAUAAAGUCAACUUACAUCAAUACAACAAUAUCAAUCACAGACGAGGAAGAACUAAACAGACAGGGUAUUUAAGCACAUGGGAGUUAAUCAGGGAAAUUGAGACAGGUGGGGAUUAUUCAAUUAACAAAACAAGAAAAGGAAGAUGACCAAAUAAGGAAACAGAAAGUCACUG